rnacentral:miRNA from 1 species
GCACCACUUGUGACUUAGCUACUG